rnacentral:rRNA from 1 species
GACGAACGCUGGCGGCAUGCUUAACACAUGCAAGUCGAACGAGACCUCCCGGUCUAGUUGCGCUCGUCUGCUUAACGCCUGGUAACUAGCCCUUAGGUUCCGAAUACCUCCCUGAGAGGUAACCUAAUACAGCUUAAUGUCUUCGCACCAAGGAUUUUUCGCUGUUGGAUGGGCCCGCGUUGGUUUCGCCGGUUGGUAGUGUACUAGCCUACCAAGGAGUCGUUCCAGGGCUGGUCUGUGAGGAUGACCAGCCAGAAUGGCACUGAGACACGGCCCAGACUCCUACGGGAGGGAGCAGUAGGGAAUAUUGGACAAUGGGCGAAAGCCUAAUACAGCAAUGCGGGGUGAGUGAUGAAGGCCUUAGGGUUGUAAAGCUCUUUUAGACGGGAUGAUAAUGACAGUACCGGGAGAAUAAGCACCGGCUAACUACGUG